CCUGCUAUGCGACUAGCAGUAGCCUAGGGAGACAUGCGUCACUGGUAACGGUGGGGUGUGAAGCUCUCCUGACAACGUAGCCCCCGUAAGGGUGUCUAGCCGUCGUGAGGCGGACAGGCAGAGACUCCGAGCAGCAACGGGGUCGAGGAG
rfam:Cupriavidus sp. SK-3 Scaffold32, whole genome shotgun sequence.